rfam:Canis lupus familiaris chromosome 20, whole genome shotgun sequence.
GUGCUUGCCUCAGCAGCCCAUAUACAAAACUGGAACAAUACAAUUGAUUAGCAUGGCCUGUGUACAAGGAUGACAUUCAAAUUUGUGAAGCAUUCCAUAUUUGU